GAAGUAUAGAUCUGCUGGUUAUAGAUUUUUUUUUUAUAACUUUCAUUAUUGUGACGACGCGCUAUGAAAUUCAGAUUAAUUUAUAAAUGAAGUUGUAUAUAAAUUUUUGGUCAUAAACACAAAUCUUUUAAACAGUUCGACGAGUGCGUCAAUGUUACAGUAGUCUGUUUACUGUAAGUUACUAAGCUUGGCCCGAUUCAUCUGUCAUUUAUGGAAACUAAUUCACCACUUUCUGAGACAUUCAUUUUUUAUUUCACCAUCAGACAUGGAGCUACAUUUGUAACUAAAGGAAAACUCUCAAAUUAAAGAAAUUUGACAUGAUAUACUGAAACUUUCUUAUAAUCAAUUAAACGACUGCUUUUCUUAGAUAUGUGAUUUUUCAUGGUCAAACUUUUUCAUUGUUAACGGACAUUUUGAGAUUUUUUAUUGUAAAAAAAUGGUGUUUUUUUAAAGAAAUCAACAUUCAAAAUUUAGAACUUCAUGAACAUGUACAGGAAGCUGAAUUAUUGCACAUCUAUGUACUACUUAAAAUUGUACUUCGAUCUGUUGCGUCCUUAAAAUGUUCUGACCGUCCUAAGAUUUAAUGUACGGAAAUGUUUCGGUAAAUUAAAUUCAAAUCCGAAUUGAAUGUUUAUGACACACAAAAAGAGAAACCAG
rnacentral:lncRNA from 1 species